rnacentral:rRNA from 1 species
CCCUACGGGAGGCAGCAGUGAGGAAUAUUGGUCAAUGGGCGGGAGCCUGAACCAGCCAAGCCGCGUGAAGGAAGAAGGCGCCAGGCGUCGUAAACCUCUUUUGUCGGGGAGCAAAAGCCGGACGUGUCCGUCUGUGAGAGUACCCGAAGAAAAAGCAUCGGCUAACUCCGUGCCAGCAGCCGCGGUAAUACGGAGGAUGCGAGCGUUAUCCGGAUUUAUUGGGUUUAAAGGGUGCGCAGGCGGAUUUUUAAGUCAGCGGUCAAAUCGUGGGGCUCAACCCCAUCCAGCCGUUGAAACUGGGGAUC